UACAGAGGGUGCGAGCGUUAAUCGGAAUUACUGGGCGUAAAGGGUGCGUAGGUGGUUUGGUAAGUUAGAUGUGAAAUUCCUGGGCUUAACCUGGGGACUGCGUCUGAUACUGCUAGGCUAGAGUACUGUAGAGGGAAGUGGAAUUUCCGGUGUAGCAGUGAAAUGCGUAGAUAUCGGAAGGAACAUCAGUGGCGAAGGCGACUUCCUGGACAGAUACUGACACUGAGGCACGAAAGCGUGGGGAGCAAACAGG
rnacentral:rRNA from 1 species